CAUGCAGUAGAACGCUGAAGAGAGGAGCUUGCUCUUCUUGGAUGAGUUGCGAACGGGUGAGUAACGCGUAGGUAACCUGCCUUGUAGCGGGGGAUAACUAUUGGAAACGAUAGCUAAUACCGCAUAACAAUGGAUGACACAUGUCAUUUAUUUGAAAGGGGCAAUUGCUCCACUACAAGAUGGACCUGCGUUGUAUUAGCUAGUAGGUGAGGUAAUGGCUCACCUAGGCGACGAUACAUAGCCGACCUGAGAGGGUGAUCGGCCACACUGGGACUGAGACACGGCCCAGACUCCUACGGGAGGCAGCAGUAGGGAAUCUUCGGCAAUGGGGGCAACCCUGACCGAGCAACGCCGCGUGAGUGAAGAAGGUUUUCGGAUCGUAAAGCUCUGUUGUAAGUCAAGAACGGGUGUGAGAGUGGAAAGUUCACACUGUGACGGUAGCUUACCAGAAAGGGACGGCUAACUACGUGCCAGCAGCCGCGGUAAUACGUAGGUCCCGAGCGUUGUCCGGAUUUAUUGGGCGUAAAGCGAGCGCAGGCGGUUUGAUAAGUCUGAAGUUAAAGGCUGUGGCUCAACCAUAGUUCGCUUUGGAAACUGUCAAACUUGAGUGCAGAAGGGGAGAGUGGAAUUCCAUGUGUAGCGGUGAAAUGCGUAGAUAUAUGGAGGAACACCGGUGGCGAAAGCGGCUCUCUGGUCUGUAACUGACGCUGAGGCUCGAAAGCGUGGGGAGCGAACAGGAUUAGAUACCCUGGUAGUCCACGCCGUAAACGAUGAGUGCUAGGUGUUGGAUCCUUUCCGGGAUUCAGUGCCGCAGCUAACGCAUUAAGCACUCCGCCUGGGGAGUACGACCGCAAGGUUGAAACUCAAAGGAAUUGACGGGGGCCCGCACAAGCGGUGGAGCAUGUGGUUUAAUUCGAAGCAACGCGAAGAACCUUACCAGGUCUUGACAUCCCGAUGCUAUUUCUAGAGAUAGAAAGUUACUUCGGUACAUCGGUGACAGGUGGUGCAUGGUUGUCGUCAGCUCGUGUCGUGAGAUGUUGGGUUAAGUCCCGCAACGAGCGCAACCCUUAUUGUUAGUUGCCAUCAUUCAGUUGGGCACUCUAGCGAGACUGCCGGUAAUAAACCGGAGGAAGGUGGGGAUGACGUCAAAUCAUCAUGCCCCUUAUGACCUGGGCUACACACGUGCUACAAUGGUUGGUACAACGAGUUGCGAGUCGGUGACGGCGAGCUAAUCUCUUAAAGCCAAUCUCAGUUCGGAUUGUAGGCUGCAACUCGCCUACAUGAAGUCGGAAUCGCUAGUAAUCGCGGAUCAGCACGCCGCGGUGAAUACGUUCCCGGGCCUUGUACACACCGCCCGUCACACCACGAGAGUUUGUAACACCCGAAGUCGGUGAGGUAACCUUUUGGAGCCAGCCGCCUAAGGUGGGACAGAUGAUUGGGGU
rnacentral:rRNA from 1 species